rnacentral:tRNA from 1 species
GGCCCCGUAGCCUAGCUCGGAUAGGGUGCAGGCCUUCGGAGCCUGUGGCGUGGGUUCAAAUCCCACCGGGGCCG